CAGGCCUAACACAUGCAAGUCGAACGGUGCUAGCAAUAGCAUAGUGGCGCACGGGUGCGUAACGCGUGGGAAUCUGCCCUGGGGUUGGGAAUAGCGGCUGGAAACGGCCGGUAAUACCUGAUGAUGUCGAAAGACCAAAGAUUUAUCGCCCUGGGAUGAGCCCGCGUCGGAUUAGCUAGUUGGUGGGGUAAAGGCCUACCAAGGCGACGAUGACUAGGGGAGCUGAGAGGCUGGUCCCCCACACGGGCACUGAGAUACGGGCCCGACUCCUACGGGAGGCAGCAGUAGGGAAUAUUGGGCAAUGGGCGAGAGCCUGACCCAGCCAUGCCGCGUGCAGGAAGAAGGCUUUCUGAGUCGUAAACUGCUUUUGAUAGGGAAGAAUAACCAGUACGUGUACUGGGAUGACGGUACCUACAGAAUAAGCACCGGCUAACUCCGUGCCAGCAGCCGCGGUAA
rnacentral:rRNA from 1 species